CUCAGCUCUACACUCUCUCUCCGCUAUCUUUUUCUGAAGAAACCUAUGACUGGUAUAAGGGAGAUUAUAUUAAUAUUUUAUCUUUCCUUGGUUCAAUAAACUGGAACGAAUUUUUCAAUAUUACUAAUGAUAUUACAACCAUCACCAAAGAAUUUUAUUCCCUCCUAUUAUAUGCAAUAGACACUUUUAUUUCUAAAAAAAGAUACUGCAAAUCUAAAUUCCCCUGUUGGUUCUCUAAAGACUUAAUAAAUCUAAUCAAAUUAAAAAAAUUCCAACAUUCAAUAUUUAAGUUAUCUAACUCACAUGAUGAUUACCAACAAUUCUCUUCCACACGUGCUCAAUGCAAAUCCUUAAGUAGAUUUGAUUACUCCCAAUACUUAAUUAAUAUUCAAAAAUCUUUUAGAACCCAGCCUAAGAAAUUUUGGUCUUUUAUUGAAAAUAUUAAAAAAUCAUCUGGUCUUCCUAACACAAUGUCAUUCAACCAUAAAUCAGCUGAUAAUGGUCAAGAAAUUGUUAACUUAUUUAGUCAAUACUUCUCUUCGGUUUAUAAAGUGACAGCUCCUACUAAUAUUAAUUUUCAAUCUAAUAUAGUUCAAUCAAUUGAUUCGUUAAACUCACUUCACGUCGAACUCCUAGAAGUUUUCAAUGAAUUAAAUAUUCUAUCUUACAAAAAUGCAAUUGGUCCUGAUAGUCUCUCUCCUAUAUUUUUAUUUAACUGCAGAUUUAUACUUUCUCCACCUAUCACAUAUCUCUUUAAUUUUUGUUUAAAUAGUGGCUCAUUUCCAUCAUCUUGGAAAUCCACCUAUAUUAAUCCAAUUCUUAAAAAAGGUAAUAAAUCAUUUAUCUCAAACUACCGUCCUAUAUCGAUAAUUUCUAUUCUCCCUAAAAUAUUUUCUAAAAUAAUAAAUAAUAAGCUCACACCCAUAUUUAAACAUAUUUUAGCACCACAACAACAUGGAUUUCGCAAUAAAAAGUCAUGUCUUACCAAUUUAAUAACUAUUAAACAUCAUAUAAUUAAAUCUUUUUCUAAUAAUCAACAAACAGAUGUUGUUUAUACAGAUUUUGAAAAAGCCUUUGAUAGAGUAAACCACUCUUUAUUAAUCAGUAAACU